rnacentral:rRNA from 1 species
UACGUAGGGUGCGAGCGUUGUCCGGAAUUAUUGGGCGUAAAGAGCUCGUAGGCGGCUUGUCGCGUCGGAUGUGAAAGCCCGGGGCUUAACUCCGGGUCUGCAUUCGAUACGGGCAGGCUAGAGUUCGGUAGGGGAGAUCGGAAUUCCUGGUGUAGCGGUGAAAUGCGCAGAUAUCAGGAGGAACACCGGUGGCGAAGGCGGAUCUCUGGGACAACACUGACGCUGAAGCACGAAAGCGUGGGGAGCAAACAGG